rnacentral:lncRNA from 1 species
UCCAACAUGUCGGUGGCACUAGCCAAGCCUACAAGGUCGGCUAAACAAGCCUAUAAAUACAUGGACCACUUGUAAUACAAUGUAAUUCAUGAGUGAAUGAAUAUAGAAGCAAGCCAUUCAAAGUGUAGUAGUCCUCCUAUCUAACCACUUCUCCUCCAUCCUCCUAAAACUAUAACCCUUGUCCUAACAAUCAUUCUCUCCCAACUUCUAGCUCCUACAUACUAAAGUCCUAAACACAUGGUCCUAGCCCAUCACAAUACACUAAAUAGCUUCCGCAUAUAACCACAAAUUCUAAUAGUAGUAUUAAACCCACAACAAUCAAUUUCAAACAGUGGUAUCAGAGCCUAGUUCGAUAAAAACCAGUUUAUCAGAGCUUAGGAGAAAAGAACAUGUUUAAAACAGUGUCCUAUCCCAUCACAUAUUAAAAACUUCCACAUAAACUCUUGCAAAUUCUAAUAGUGGUAUAAACCCACAACAAUUUCUAAAAACAAGCAACCUAAUUCAAAGUUACCUGAGUCGUUGUGAAUUGACUAGUUUUAUCCCUUGUAUAUUCAUUUUCUACAUCACUGGGAGUUGAUGUAGCCACCUGAAAACAAAAAAGAGAUAACCCAACAGAGUUGGUUUCAUUAGGUGAUCAAAUGAAUUUUAACGAUGGGUGAUUACUAUAGAAGAGAGGUAAGAAACUUAC